rnacentral:lncRNA from 1 species
GCUGUGGACAGCAGUGUCCUCUGGGAAAUGCAGUCCGAGGGGAGAGCGCCUGGGGUGGAGCGGGUGUGUUCCGCCGGGCUCCGGGAUGCACUUGCGCAGUUUCACCCGAGGCUGGAGUGACGCCAACCUGUUAAUGUUCGUUUUCGGAUUCUGGACUUCGGGUUCCGCUGAGGACGGAUUUCGGAAUAGGCACAGUGGCUGCCCCGAACCCCUCAAGGCGGCCUCCGCGGGCUGUGGCUGAAGAUAAUUUUCGGCGGGCGCGGACUAACCCGGCUUCCCUUUGUGGAGUUGUGGUGAGAAAGGUGUUUUGUUGUGCGCGUGUCCGAAGGUGACUCCGGAGGAGAAGGUGGAUAUGAACUGACGGUGAGGGUGUAGCGCGUGAGAUUUGUAUGUGAAACGAUUUAAAAAAAAAUUUUUUUUUUGGCCGGGCGCGGUGGCUCACGCCAAGGCGGGCGGAUCACCGAGACCAGCCUGACCAACAUGGAGAAACCCCGUCUCUACUAAAAAUACAAAAUUAGCCGGGCGUGAUGGCGCAUGCCUGUAAUCCCAGCUACUCGGGAGGCUGAGGCAGGAGAAUCGCUUGAACCCGGGAGGCAGAGGUUGCGGUGAGCCGAGGUCGCGCCAUUGCACUCCAGCCUGGGCGACAGAGCAACUCCUUCUCAAACAAACAAACAAAACUGUAUGUCAUAUAUUUGACUCCAUUUAUUUAUUUAUUUAGAGACAGAGUCUUCUUGCCCUGUUGCCCGGGCAAGAAAAAACAAACAACAACAACAACAAAAAACUGUACGUCAUAUAUUUCACUCAACUUUUUUUUUUUCUUUUUUUUUUUUUGAGACGGAGUCUCGCUGUCGCCCAGGCUGGAGUGCAGUGGCGCAAUCUCGGCUCACUGCAAGCUCCGCCUCCCGGGUUCACGCCAUUCUCCUGCCUCAGCCUCCCGAGUAGCUGGGACUACAGGCGCCCGCCACCUCGCCCGGCUAAUUUUUUGUAUUUUUAGUAGAGACGGGGUUUCAUCGUGUUAGCCAGGAUGGUCUCGAUCUCCUGACCUCGUGAUUCGCCCGCCUCGGCCUCCCAAAGUGCUGGAUUACAGGCGUGAGCCACCGCGCCCGGCCUCUUUUUGAGACAGGGUCUUCAUGCCCUGUUGCCCAGGCUGACUGCGGUGGCGCGAUCCUAGCUCACUGCAGUCUCCACCUCCUCAGCUCCUCCCGCAUCCACCUCCCAAAGUGCUGGGAUAGCAGGCGUGAGCCACCGGGUCAGGCCAAAACGAUUUAUUUUAUUUUUAUUUUUUUGGUAAAGACAGGGUCUCGCUAUGUUGCCCAGGCUGGUGGUCUCGAACUCCUGGGCUCAAGCGAUCCUCCCGUCUCAGUGGCCAAAGUAUUGGAUGACAGGUGUGAGCCACCGCGCUGGGUGGUGAAACGGUUUUGAGGCUUUUUGAGAAUGGCUGUUCUAUAUGCCCGCGUGGGGCUCAUGCGGCGAGCGCCGCCACUCCCGCAGUGGCCCCUGUGGGGGUGAUACGUGAUGUGGCUUAAAUGUGAGAGGCCACCUGGACCCGUGUGAUUGCCACGUUUGCAGGAGCGCAGCCACGUGCACAGGGAUCUUGUGACAUUCUGUGUGAGGCUUUUUGCGCUGGGUCCACCCAUGAUUAGAGGACUAGUGUGACUGUGGCGGCCCCUGAGAAGGGAAGAAGCUGGUUGCGACCAGGAAGGUCUGAGAUGGAUGAAUGACAGAUCUCUGGACCAGGGCGUCCUGAACCUUAGAUGUAUGCAUAGGAGCGGUGUGAGGUGACUGUGUAUGUUUGUGUGUGAGAGUCCAGAGCCGACUUAGAGGAGUGGAAGCUGGCACAUGUUAUCUGCCAGAAGGGACAGAUCCAUGGUAAGGAUUUUUAACCUUGCUGAGAGACCAGUAACUCCAUCACCAAGUGUAAUAUGAGGAAAUGGUGCUUGUUUGAGAACAAGUGAUUCUGCUUGUGUCUGAUUCUCAUUCAUGUAUGUGAGAUGGUUUGCACUUGAAACUGUCAGUGAGAGAGAAAGUAGAGUGAAAUAUAUGACGUACAGCUGGCCCUCCCUAUCCAUGGGUCUUGCAUUGUGGAUUCAACAAACCUUCAGUUGAAAAUAUCUGGGAAAAGAAGUUGAUGUUUGCAUCUGUACUGAACUUGUACAGGCUUUUUUUCUUGUCAUUAUGCCCUAAAAAAUAGAAUAUAACAACUAUGUACAUAGUAUUUACAUGGUUAUUAGGUGUUAUAAGUAAUCUAGAGAGGGUUUAAAGAAUAUGGGAGGAUUUCCAUAGAUUAUAUGCAAAUACCGUGUUCAUUUUAUAUAAGGGACUUGAGCAUCUGUGUAUGUUGGUGGGGAGGGGUCCUGGAGGGACACUGAGGGAUGACUAUGUGAAAGUGGUUUGCGAAUAUGCUCAAGUCUCUGGAUGAAUUGUAUGACAGUGAAGGGGUAUGUGAUUAGACUGUUGUGGCUUUGAGGUUGAUGUGUAUGUUUUAAAGGAUUAUGAUUGAGUUGGAGAUCAUGUGAGAUUUGGUGUGUUUAAAUGUGACAUGAAUUAAAAUCCGAAUGAAAGAUUGCGAAGUUAUAUGAAUGUAGUAACUACAUAAGAGAAUGCAGGUAUCUGGGACCCAUGGAUACGUUACAGUGGGGAAAAUAAAUAAUCAGACCUUUCAGGGAUUACUUUUCAGGGUAGUUUGGUGGCAGCACUUUGUAUAAGGAAGGCAAAUCCAUAUCCAUAGUGUCUAUUUCAGUGAGAAAAAAGCAGUCCGAUGUAACCAACCUGCCACCAGAGAAUGGUGUCAUGUUGGGACUCAGUGUUGGUCUCUGCACAGUCACUCUAAUAAAAGCCGUAGGUCCCUUUUGGAAGACUGGGAGAAAGAUUAACAGUAUAAAUUUCUGGAAGUAUACUGGUGCUCUUCCUUAAGGGGACCUGGCCUCCCCUUUGUUCAAGGGCUUCUGGGUCUCUUCACUGGCUCAAGUCUGGGUAUUCAUUGAGGGACACUGACUUUCUGUCUUUAUGAAUCAAGUUAUACUUUUGUUCACUUGACCUAGAAGUCUUCCACUUACACAAAUCAAUUAACUCUUUAGUAGAUUUCCUAUCUAUUUAACUUCCAUCAAAGAAUAUCAGCCAUCUUCCCAGACAGUUACCCUGUAACAGAUAUUUUCUUUGAAAUGUUCUUUCAUGGCCAUUUUGCAUUCUUUAUCACAAUAAAUUAUUGUUUCAUUUUUAUUAAAUUGUUUUAAAUUAGACACUGGCUCUGAACUGACCUCAAUUCCAGGAGAUCCAAAACAUCACUGUGAUCUACCAGUCAGAGUAGGGGCUUAUGGCAGUUAGGUGAUGAAUGGAGUUUUAGCUCAGGUCUGUCUCACAAUGGGCACAGCAAGUCCCAGAAGCAUUCUGUGGUUGUAUCCCCAAUACCAUACACAUAAUUGGACUAAAUCUACUUAGUAACCGGCAGAAUCCCCACAUUGAUUACCUGACCUGUGGACUGAGGGCUGUUAUGGUGGGAGAGGCCAGGUGGAAGCGACUAAAACUGUCUCCACCUAGAAAAAUAGUAAUUUUUUUUACUAUUUUUGUAAAUAGUAAAAAUUUACUAUUUACAAAAUAAUAGUAAUGGAUUCCCACCCCAUCACCAUUCAACUUGCCUAUUUGGCCCUGCAGAAGACAAAUGGGUCUUGAAGAAUGACACUGGAUUAUCAUAAGCUUAACCAGGUGGUGACUCCAGUUGUAGCUGCUGUACCAAAUGUGGUUUUGUUGCUUAAGGAUAUUAACACAUCCUCUGCUACCUGAUGUGUAGCUACUGAAUUGGCAAAUGCUUUUUUCUCCAUCCUUGUUAUUUAAAACCACCAUAAAUAGCUUGCUUUCAAUUGGUAAGGCCAGUAAUACGCUUUCACUGUGCUGCCUCAGGAGUAUAUCAGCUCUCCAGACACAUAUCGUAAGUUAGUUCACAGGGAUCUCGAUUGCCUUUUCCUUCCACGAGAUACUGCACUGGGCCGGGCGUGGUGGCUCACACCUGUAAUCCCAGCACUUUGGGAGGCCAAGGCAUGUGGAUCAUCUGAGGUCAGCAGUUCCAGACCAGCCUGGCCAACAUGGCAAAACCCCGUCUCUACUAAAAAUACAAAAAUUAGCUGAACAUGGUGGCAUGCACCUGUAAUCCCAGCUACUCGGGAGGCUGAGGCAGGAGAAUUGCUUGAACCCAGGAGGCAGAGGUUGCAGUGAGCUGAGAUCGCACCACUGCACUCCAGCCUGGGCGACAGAGCAAGACUCCGUCUCAAAACAAACAAACAAACAAAUAAACAAAAGAUACUGCACUGAUCCAUUACAUUGAUGACAUUACACUGAUUCAACCUAGUGAACAAGAAGUAGCAAGUACUCUAGAUUUAUUGUUAAGACAUUGCAUGUCAGAGGAUGGAAAUAAACCCAACAAGAAAUCAGGGGCCUUCUACCUCACUGAAAUUCCCAGAGGUCGGGUGGUGUGGAGCAUGGUGAGAUAUCCCUUCUAAGAUGAAGUAUAAAUUGUUCCAUCUGGCUCCUCCUACAGUCAAAAAGGAGGCACAAUGCAAAGGGGGUCUCUUCGGAUUUUGGAAGCAACGCAUUCCUCACUUGGAUGUGUUAUUCUGCUGGCCAUUUACCAAGUGAUCCAAAAAACUGUUAGUUUACAGCGGGGCCCAGAACAAAGGAAAACUCCCCAACAGGACCAGGCUGCUGUGCAAGCUGAUGUGCCACUUGGGCCACAUGAUCCAACAAAUCUAAUGGUGCCUCAAGUGUCAGUAGCAGAGAGGGAUGCCGUUUGGAGCCUUUGGCAGGGCCCAGCAGAGGAAUCACAGUGCAGGCCCUGAGGAUUUUGGAGCAAAGCCCUAUCUUCCUUUUUAGAAAACGACUCUUCAGAGGCAGCUUUUGGCCUCCUACUGGACCUUAGUAGAGACUGAACAUUUAAUCAUGGGCCACGAAGUUACCAUGCAACCUGCACUACCCAUCAGGAAAUGGGUGUUACCUGACCCACCAAGUCAUUAAAUUGAGUGUACACAGCAGUACUCCAUCAUAAAAUUUAAGUGGUAUAAAUGUGAUCAGGCCUAAGCAGGCCCUGAAGGCACACAUGUGAAGAAGUGGCCCAAAAGCCCAUCGUCCCCCCUCUUGCUACAAUACCUUUCUCUCCCAGCCUGCACUCGUGGCCUCAUGGGGAGUUCCCUAUGAUCAGUUGAUAGAGGUAGAGAAGACUCAGGCCUGGUUUACAGAUGGUUCUGCAUGAUAGACAGAUACCACCUGGACAGCGCUACAGUCCUGUUCUGGGACAUCCCCAAAGAACAGUGGUGAAGGGAAAUCCUCCCAGUGAUUGGAACUCUGAGCACCGCACCUGGUUGUUCAUUUUUCCUAGAAGGAGAAAUAGCCAGAUGUGACAUUAUAUACCAACUCAUGCACUGUAGCCAAUGGUCUGGCUGGAUGGUCAGGAACUUGGAAGGAACAUUAUUUAAAAACUGGUGACAAGGAAUUCUAGGGAAGAGAUAUGGACCUCGCUGAACAGGUAAAAAAUAUAAAGAUAUUUGUGCCCUAUGUGAAUACUUACCAAAGGGUAACCUUAGCAGAGGAUGUUUCAUAAUCGGGUGUAUAGGAUGACCCAUUCUGUGGAUAUCAGUCAGCCUCUUUACCAAGCUACCCUUAUCAUCACCCAAUUGGCUCAUGAACAAAGUGGUCAUGAUGGCAGUGAUGAAAGUUAUGCAUGGGCUCAGCAACAUGGACUUCUGCUCACCAAAGCCAAACUGGCUACAGCUACUGCUGAGUGCCCAGUCUGCUGGCAGCCAAGACCAACAUUGGCUCCCCAAUAUGGCACCAUUCCCUGGUGGCAGGCUGAUACAUUGGAUUGCUUCCAUCAUGGAAGGGGUAGUAUUUUUUUCUUACUGGAAUACACACUUUAGAUACAAAUUUGCCUUCCUGACACAAAAUGCUUCUGCCAAAACUACCAUCCAGACCCUUAACGAAUGAAGGUUUGGGUCACCCCACCAGUUAAAGAACCACAAUCAGCUGAGGAGCUCGCUUGCUGAGGGAAAAAGGAAUACAUAAUGGAUAAUGGAAGAAGGUAGGUAUGAAUACCAGCUAUAACCACGUGAGCAGUUACAGAAACAAAGACUAAUUGUCAUGAAUGUGUCUUCUUUAUUUUAUAAUGAAUGUGUAUACAACACAGCUUUGUUUUCAUCCCUUUCAUAUCUCUUUAUCAUGUACAGUAUGAUAUACUGACUUUAUAUUAGAGUAUUUAAAUAUUGUUAACUUUAUAUCAGUUUUUAAGUUAUGGGAUAUCAGGGAGAAGCAUUAACAUCAUCCAGACUUUGCAUCCUCUUCUGGGGAAGUGUUAGUUAUUUUUGGUUUUAUGCAGGAUAGUUGUAUCAUGUUAAGCAGAAGUAUAACCUUGUUACUGCCUUUAUUCAGAUAUGAAGUAUGGUUUUAGGAGAUGCUUAUGGGUACCAAGUCGACAAGGGUGGACUUAUGAUGGUUAAUUUUAUGUGUCAACUUGACUGGGCCAUGAUGCCCAGAUAUUUGGUCAAACAUUAUUCUGGAUGUUUCUGUGAAAGGUGUUUUUUUGGAUGAGAGUAACACUUAAAUCAGUGGACUCUGAAUAAAGCAGAUUACGCUCCACACAAUGGAUGAGCCUCAUUCAAUCAGCUAAAGUUCUUAAUAGUACAAAGGCUAAUGUCUGAGCAAGAGGGAAUUGUGUUAGCAGACUGCCUUUAGACUUCGAAUCACAACUGUUUUCUGGGUCUUCAGCCUGCUGGCCUGCCUUGCAGAUUUUGGACGUACCAAGGCUCCACAAUUGCAUGAGCCAGUUCCUUAAAAUAAAUCUUUCUGUGUGCAUGCAUACACACAGACACAGACACAGACACACACACACACACACACCCUGUUUGUUCUGUUUCUCUAGAGAACCUUAAUAUACUAUCCUAAGUAUUUUACAUGUAUAGUGUCAUUUAACUCCCCUCAGAACCCUGAGGGAGUUAUUGAUACCUUUCCCGGUAAACUGAUGAUGCAGGUGAGGCAUCAAGAGCUUAAAUAACUUGUAAAAUGUCACAGAGUUCCUAAGAGAAGGAACUGGAAUUUGAAUUUCAAAGUCCUCAGUCUUUAACUAUUAGAUUACCAUUUUCUAACUUGACACCUUCUAUUCUAUAUCCCACCCGCUUCACAAAGCCAUUCCUGAUGAGUGCCAACUAAUUUGGAAUGAAAAUCAUUAGGAUUAUGGGUUCUAUUAUAUGAUAUUUAACACACUGUUUAUUCUCAAACAUUUUUAUUUACUAAUUAUUAUCAGGAAUUCUUCAAUGGCAUUCUUGUAAUACUAUUUAGUUCAUUUUUAUAAUUACUUCCUAAGAGACAAAUUGUCCUAGAAGUGGGGGGUUUCUGAGUAAGACACUGGCAUGCCUGGCAACAUGCAAGACCUUGUGCUUCAAUACUUGGAAGAAGCACAAAUUACUAAGAUAUAAUUGCUGCUUUUGUAUUGCUUAUAAUUCAACAGGGGAAAUAAAAGUAAGUCAAAGGUAGAGCAUGACAAAGACUUCUAGAGAAGUACAGGUGAUAACCCUGGGAGUUCCCAAGAAUUCAUAGGAGCUCUGGGUGUGAAUGAAUGUCCUCUCGUCAUGUGUAUGCCUUACAGAUUAGAGUCUGUUGAUGUUGGGUCUAAAGGGUACUAAUGGAGCAAGGCUGUCCUCUUACUGAUAGCAGGGCAUUAUGGCUAAUAUUUCGGAAGUGAAAUAAAUCCUUCUGUCAAGAAGGCAUAGAAAACAAAGCAGCAAGUCCAAGGUAAGGUUUAAACCUCCUAGCUCUUCUUCCCUGGGCAGAAUACCCACAGUCAUAGUUGGGUCCAAAUUAAUAUUUUUUUUAACAUAAGAGAAAUAAUUCAUCACAUAGUAUUUAGAAUAUGCUUAGCUGUAAAUCUAAAGACUUCUUAAAGCUUUUUUUUUUGGAGACAGAGUCUCACUCUGUUGCCCAGGCUGGAGUGCAGUGGCAUGAUCUCUGCUCACUGCAACUUCUUCCUCCUGGGCUCAAGCGAUUCUCGUGCCCCAGCCACCCAAGUAACUGGGAUUACAGGCAUGCACCAACAUGCCUGGCUAAUUUUUGUAUUUUUAGUAGAGAUGGGUUUCACCAUGUUGGCCAGGCUAGUCUCAAACUCCUGGCCUCAAGUGAUCAGUCCACCUCAGCCUCCCAAAGUGGAGGGAUUAUAGGCGUGAGCCACUGCAGCCGGCCUAAAAGCUUUUUUAAUCUACUUUUUGAAAAUCUUCCAUUUAAUAAAAUGCCUUAAACAUACAUUCUAAAAUCAACAGAUGUUUCUUGCAAAGAAAAUAGCAAGUAUAUGUAACAAGUAUACUUAAGUUUAAAUUUAUAAAAGUAUAUUUAAAACAAAAAAUCAGUAUCACAGCCUAUUAAAUGUUAAAUGUUAAAGGUAUACCUUGGCUGGGUGUGGUGGCUCACACAUGUAAUACCAGUACUUUGGGAGGCUGAAGCAGGAGGAUUGCUUGAGCCCAAGGAGUUGGAGACCACUCUGGGAAACAGAAUGUGACCCCAUCUCUACAAAAAAUAAAAAAUUGGCCAGGCGCAGUGGCUCACGCUUGUAAUCCCAGCACUUUGGGAGGCUGAGGCAGACAGAUCACAAGGUCAGGAGUUCAAAACCAGCCUGAUCAACAUCGUGAAACCCUGUCUCUACUAAAAAUACAAAAAUUAGCUGGGCGUGGUGGCGUGCACCUGUAAUCCCAGCUACUCAGGAGGCUGAGGCAGGAGAAUCACUUGAACCCGGGAGGCGGAGGUUGCAGUGAGCCGAGAUUGCACCACUUCACUCCAGCCUGGGUGACAGAGCGAGACUCCGUCUCAAAAAAAUAAUAAAAAAUAAUAAUAAAUUAGCCAGGUGUGGUGGCAUGUGCCUGUGGUCCCAGCUACACAGGAGGCUGAGGCAGGAGGAUCAGUUGAGCCCAGCAGGUCAAGGCUGCAGUGAGCCAUGUUCACGCUGCUGCACUCCAGACUGGGUGACAGAGCAAGACUCUGUCUCAAACAAAAACAAAAACACCCAGUAUACCUCUAUAGAUAUUUUUAUUUCUAUUGCUGAUGUCUGGCAUUCUAUUUGUAUGUAUAUGUACAUGUAUCUGUAUGUACAUAUGUACACUUUGAUAAAUGGCAUAGCUGUACAUAUAAUAACCUACUGUAGCCACUGUCAGCAUGUUUUGGAUUUGUCUAUAUUUUUCUAUUAUUCUACACCUUUUUUUUUUUUUUUUUUUUUUUUUUUUUGAGACAGAGUCUCACUCUGUUGCCCAGGGUGGAGUGCAGUGGCACCAUCUUGGCUCACUGCAACCUCUGCCUCCUGGGUCAAGCGAUUAUCCUGCCUCAGCCUCCCGAGUAGCUGGGAUUACAGGCACCUGCCACCAUGCCUGGCUAAUUUUUGUAUUUUUAGUUGAGACGGGGUUUCACCAUAUUGGCCAGGCUGGUCUCGAACCUCUGACCUCAAGUGAUCUGCCCGCCUCAACCUCCCGAAGUGCUGGGAUUACAGGUGUGAGCCACUGCACCCAACCAACUUUUUUUUUUUUUUAACUGAUCACUUAACAGUUCGUUCUGAGGAAGUUCUGGAAUUUUUAAACUAGUAUAUUCCUGCUAGACUCAAAGCUGAACCAUGCCAGAGAAAUUCCUUCCAUAUGCUGCCCAGCUGCUAUGUAUACCCCACCCUCCCAUUUCCCUCAGGGUCCUGUGGGACUUACUUUCAGUGGCAAAAAGCGUAAUUACUUUUGCACCAACCUAAUAGAUUUGGAGUGUUUUUGUCAUUUGCAGGACUGUCACUUCGAGGGAUAACCAUCAAGUUCUCCAGGUGCAGAGUGAGUGGCUGAACCCUGCUUAAAGGGAUGUAACUAUAAGGAUGUGAUGUCAGAGCCUAGUCUUGCUAGUUAAGAAUAAUUUCGGUGGCUCGCGCUUGUAAUCCCAGCACUUUGGAAGGCCAAGGUUGGGGGAUCGCUUGAGCCCAGGAGCUCGAUACCAGCCUGGGCAACAUGGUGAAACUUCAUCUCUAUUUAUAAAAGUAAAAGAUAGGGCCGGGCGCGGUGGCUCAUGCCUGUAAUCCCAGCACUUUGGGAGGCCGAGGUGGGCAGAUCACCUGAGGUCAGAAGUUCGAGACUAGCCUGACCAACAUGGAGAAACCCUGUCUCUACUAAAAAUACAAAAUUAGCUGGGUAUGAUGGUGCAUGCCUGUAAUCCCAGCUACUUGGGAGGCUGAGGCAGGAGAAUCGCAUGAACCUGGGAGGCAGAGGUUGUGGUGAGCCAAGACCAUGCCAUUGCACUCUAGCCUGGGCAACAAGAGCGAAACUCCGUCUCAAAAAAAAAAAAAAAAAAAAAAGGCUGGGUGUGGUGGCUCACGCCUGUAAUCCCAGCACUUUGGGAGGCUGAGGUGGGUGGAUCACGAGGUCAGGAGUUCGAGACUAGCCUGGCCAACAUAGUGAAACCCUGUCUCUACUAAAAAUACAAAAAAUUAGCCCAGUGUUGAGGCGGGCACCUGUAAUCCCAGCUACUCGGGAGGCUGAGGCAGGAGAAUUGCUUGAACUUGGGAGGCAGAGGUUGCAGUGAGCUGAGAUCAUGCCACUGCAUUCCAGCCUGGGCAACAGUGCGAGACUCUGUCUCAAAAAAAAAAAAAAAAAAAAAAAAAAGGCCAGGCAUGGUGGUUCAUGCCUUUAAUCCCAGCACUUUGGGAGGCCGAGGCGGGUGGAUCACCUGAGGUGAGGAGUUCGAGACCAGCAUGGCCAACAUGUCGAAACCCCAUCUCUACUAAAAAUACAAAAGUUAGCCAGGCAUGGUGGUGCGCGCCUGUAGUCCCAGCUACUUGGGAGGCUGAGGCAGAAGAAUCGCUUGAACCCAGGAGGUGGAGUUUGCAGUGAGCUGAGAUCAUGCCACUGCACUCCAAUCUGGGCAACAGAGUGAGACUCCAACUCAAAAAAAUAAAUAAAAUAAAAAUUUUUAAAGAAUAUUUUCCUUUAUUAUUUAUAAUCUGCUUGCUGGGAGUAUUUUCUUUCAUUGUGAGUCUCUUGAGAGCCUUGGAAGAACUGAUCUGACAUUUUUAUAGCUGCAAACACUCAACUGUGUUUUUAUUAUUGAGGCUUCAUUUUCUUGACACCUAAAGUGACUUUAUCUUCCUCUGUCUCAUAUUUUCCUCUCCCUGAAUUGACAUCACCACAACAGGCCUAAGUCCAAUUUCUUUUCCUAUAUACAGGACCUUUUAUCUCUAAGCCAGAUGUGAUUUCCCCAUUGAAGAAAAGGAGAUAGCCGUGAAUGUGUGGAGAGUAAUGUGUUAAGGUGGCUCAAAGAAGAGGGAAGCCAUUGCAGAUAAAUGCUCAGCUGAUAUGAAGAGUCAAAACUUCAAGGUAUUGUUUGAGAAACUUUUCCCUCAGUGGCCAGUGGAGAGAACUGAGGUCCCUUCAGUCUGAGUUCCCAAAGACACCUCACCAUCAUGCCUCUGUGUCAGUGUGCCCAUAGCUCCUUCUAUAAUUCUUCCAGUUUUAAGGAGGGAAGGAUUAGCCUUAUAGAGUUUCUAAUUAUAAAAGAAAUACACACUGAGCAUUAAAAUUAAGAAAACAGAGAAUCCUAUUCCACAUAGCAAAGGAAACAAUAGGAUGAAGAGACAACCCAAAGAUUAGGAGAAAAUACUUGCAAAUCAUAUAUUGGAUAAGGGGCUAAUAUUCAAAAUGUAAAAGGAACUCACACUUCUUAAUAACAAGAAUACAAAUAACUGGCCGGGUGCGGUG